rnacentral:rRNA from 1 species
GGUUCAUUCAAAUUUCUGCCCUAUCAACUUUCGACGGCUGGGUCUUGGCAGCCAUGGUGACAACGGGUAACGGAGGGUAAGGGCUCGACCCCGGAGAAGGAGCCUGAGAAACGGCUACUACAUCCAAGGAAGGCAGCAGGCGCGCAAAUUACCCAAUCCCGACCGGGGAGGUAGUGACAAUAAAUACUGAUACAGGGCUCUUUGGGUCUUGUAAUUGGAAUGAGUACAAUUUAAAUCCCUUAACGAGGAACAAUUGGAGGGCAAGUCUGGUGCCAGCAGCCGCGGUAAUUCCAGCUCCAAUAGCGUAUAUAAAGGUUGUGGCAGGUAAAAAGCUCG